rnacentral:lncRNA from 1 species
GUUACACAUUAAGCAUUAGCUGAAAACAUAAGAAGUCACGCUGAAAGUAGAAGACUCUACUUGGUGCUGUAACUUCAACCUUAAUGCUUCAUGGCACAUGUGACACUUUCAUAUGAAACGUCAAGACGAUAAGUUAUUUGCAGGAUCAACUACUGCAACUAUCAAAGCAAUGCUAAUAGCAUCAAGUGGGGUGGCAUAGCAUAAAAAGUGGAAGGUUAGAUUUGUUUUGUCAUUUGUACAUUGGAGAAUGGUGCCGCAAUAGUAGUCAUAUUCUGUCUCUUAUGGUUUGGUUGCAGGAACAAAUGUUGUGACCCGUCUAGAUAUUGUUUGGUUACCUUGUCAUGCAAUAGUAUAUUUGCUUGGAGUAUCAUUUUAAUUGCAAAGACUGAAGCUCUGUUUGGAAGUGAUCUUUAUAUGCUUGCCUCAUCUACAAAAAAAUAUGGCUUAAAUUUUUCUUGAUACACAAACAUUUGUAGUCUUCAGCUGGUAGUAAUAUUAUCUUGAUCUGAUCUUCACUUAUACUGGGAUAAGACAAAACCACACAGUCUUCUUUCUACUGCCACUGUUCCAAAAUUAUAAGCACUUCAAC